rnacentral:rRNA from 1 species
GGAAGAUGUAACGGGGCUAAACCAUGCACCGAAGCUGCGGCAGCGACACUGUGUGUUGUUGGGUAGGGGAGCGUUCUGUAAGCCUGUGAAGGUGUGUCGUGAGGCAUGCUGGAGGUAUCAGAAGUGCGAAUGCUGACAUAAGUAACGAUAAAGCGGGUGAAAAGCCCGCUCGCCGGAAGACCAAGGGUUCCUGUCCAACGUUAAUCGGGGCAGGGUGAGUCGACCCCUAAGGCGAGGCCGAAAGGCGUAGUCGAUGGGAAACGGGUUAAUAUUCCCGUACUUGGUGUUACUGCGAAGGGGGGACGGAGAAGGCUAUGUUGGCCGGGCGACGGUUGUCCCGGUUUAAGCGUGUAGGUGUGUGUUCCAGGUAAAUCCGGUUCACUUUAACACUGAGGCGUGACGACGAGGCACUACGGUGCUGAAGCAACAAAUGCCCUGCUUCCAGGAAAAGCCUCUAAGCAUCAGGUAACAUCAAAUCGUACCCCAAACCGACACAGGUGGUCAGGUAGAGAAUACCAAGGCGCUUGAGAGAACUCGGGUGAAGGAACUAGGCAAAAUGGUGCCGUAACUUCGGGAGAAGGCACGCUGACACGUAGGUGAAGUGAUUUACUCAUGGAGCUGAAGUCAGUCGAAGAUACCAGCUGGCUGCAACUGUUUAUUAAAAACACAGCACUGUGCAAACACGAAAGUGGACGUAUACGGUGUGACGCCUGCCCGGUGCCGGAAGGUUAAUUGAUGGGGUCAGCGCAAGCGAAGCUCCUGAUCGAAGCCCCGGUAAACGGCGGCCGUAACUAUAACGGUCCUAAGGUAGCGAAAUUCCUUGUCGGGUAAGUUCCGACCUGCACGAAUGGCGUAAUGAUGGCCAGGCUGUCUCCACCCGAGACUCAGUGAAAUUGAACUCGCUGUGAAGAUGCAGUGUACCCGCGGCAAGACGGAAAGACCCCGUGAACCUUUACUAUAGCUUGACACUGAACAUUGAGCCUUGAUGUGUAGGAUAGGUGGGAGGCUUUGAAGUGUGGACGCCAGUCUGCAUGGAGCCGACCUUGAAAUACCACCCUUUAAUGUUUGAUGUUCUAACGUGGACCCGUUACCCGGGUUGCGGACAGUGUCUGGUGGGUAGUUUGACUGGGGCGGUCUCCUCCUAAAGAGUAACGGAGGAGCACGAAGGUUGGCUAAUCCUGGUCGGACAUCAGGAGGU